ACUUGCUGUGAUUGAAAUACAGCUGGGGGGCUGGUUACUUUACCGGCAGCCCUAUGUGGACUCAAGACUUCUGAUCACAUCCAGCCUAGUAAAUACCAUUCCUCGUGUUAAAAAUAAAACAACCCAAACAAACAAACAAACAAACCUCAUACCUCAUACAGAUGUUUUCUUUCCUGGCCAGGUUCUUUGCUGUAGGAUACCUGAGAUAUUUUAAUGAGGAUAUAUUGAAAAUUGAAGCCACCUCAUAGCCUGUGAUUUCAACCCUAUCUUGCCUGGAGCCAAAGCUUUGAAUGCAGAUAUAUCCUUCUGGCAGGAGCUACUGGACAAAAGGAGCAGGUGACAGAGCAAAGAGAAAGCAAGGAAAUGGGGCAGAAAGAAGGCCCAGGACAGAGGCUACACAGGACAGGAGGUAUGAUCAGGUGCUGGGUUAUCAAAUAUGGGACUUUUAUUGAUAUGUUUUUAUCUGUUUUUGAUAA
rnacentral:lncRNA from 1 species